ACAGCUGCCAACUCCUACCUACCUUUAUGUGCUUCUUCCUCUCUUCGUCGUACAGUUGCUUCUUCUCUCCGUGCACGAGCUGCUUCCGCCGCUGCCGGUUCCGCCGCCGCUGGCGUCGCACGAUCUCUCUCUGUCAUCCCUUGCGUCACACGAGCUCCCUCUGUUGCCGCUCUCGUCACGUCUACUCCCAUCAUCGCAGAGCUCUCCGCCGCCACUCUCAUUGCAUCUGCUCCCUCUGGCGCCUCUUCCAUCUAAUCUCAACAACUCGCUCUCUCGGUUCUUCUCGUAACCAUCUCGAAUUUCAGCAAGUUGAGAAAUCUAGAGAAGGGUCUUCCACAAUACAAAGCAGCACCUUUGUUUGAUAAGCUUGUGUUUGAUAAGACAAAACAAGCAUUAGGUGGACGAGUUCAAAUCUUGUUAUUAGGAGCUGCUCCUUUGCCUAGACAUGUUGAGGAGUUUAUGAGGGCCACUAGUGGAUCUACAUUAUCACAAGGAUAUGGUCUUACUGAAAGCUGUGCUGGGUGUUUCACAGCAAUAGGUGAUUUUUAUCUCUGAUUUUUGUUCUUGAGACAGUUACCAGAAACAAAACAUAGAAUUUCAGAAUUCAGAGUUUGAUAUCAGCUUUAAGUUUGACUCAUUCUGCACUGAACUUACUCAUCUUAACGUCACAUAGUGCUGCCAUGUCUUCCAAUCAAUCAUCUUCUGGGUCUGCUGGUGUUAAGGAGAAUGCAAGCGAGGUGGUGAUUGUGGAUGAUGAUAAAGAGGAAGGAGAGUUGGAGGAGGGUGAGAUUGAUGAUGAUGGCACUGACCCUGAAGCAUCAGUAACAAAGAGGGUUCAGAGUGUUGCUAAAUGUGGUGUAGUUGCUUCAGAUACUGAUUCCACAUCUCAUAAGCUCAGUGUUAGGGAGGUUUUGGAGGGUGUUACAGUUGCUAAUGUGGAGGAAUCGUUUGAGGGGACUUGCUCUACUCAUGGUGCCAUCAGAAAUGAUUUCACUGACUUGACAUAAGCUUACAUUGCAUUGCUUUUCAAUCUGCUCUCUUUACAUUAGUUUUGGAACUUUGCACGGAACCUGUUUGUGAUAAUGCUCUUUUGUAUUCGUUACUGAAAUUCUUAAUUGCUAUUUGUCAUUUGAUAA